rnacentral:sRNA from 1 species
GCUGGGCAUGGUGGUGUGUGCCUGUGAUCCCAGCUACUUGGGAGGCUGAGGCAAGAGAAUUGCUUGAACCCGGGAGGCAGAGACUGCAGUGAGCCGAGAUUGCACCACUGCACUCCAUGCCUGGGUGACAAAGUGAGAUCUUGUCUCCA